rnacentral:rRNA from 1 species
CUACGGGAGGCAGCAGUGGGGAAUAUUGGACAAUGGGCGCAAGCCUGAUCCAGCAAUGCCGCGUGAGUGAUGAAGGCCUUCGGGUUGUAAAGCUCUUUCGCCCACGACGAUGAUGACGGUAGUGGGAGAAGAAGCCCCGGCUAACUUCGUGCCAGCAGCCGCGGUAAUACGAAGGGGGCUAGCGUUGUUCGGAAUGACUGGGCGUAAAGGGCGCGUAGGCGGCGCAUCAAGUCGGGCGUGAAAGCCCCGGGCUCAACCUGGGAACUGCGUUCGAGACUGGUGUGCUGGAGUUCGGGAGAGGAGAGUGGAAUUCCCAGUGUAGAGGUGAAAUUCGUAGAUAUUGGGAAGAACACCGAUGGCGAAGGCAGCUCUCUGGACCGAUACUGACGCUGAGGCGCGAAAGCGUGGGGAGCAAACAGGAUUAGAUACCCUUGUAGUCC